rnacentral:rRNA from 1 species
UACGGAGGGAGCUAGCGUUGUUCGGAAUUACUGGGCGUAAAGGGCGCGUAGGCGGUCAGCACAAGUCAGUUGUGAAAUCUCCGGGCUUAACUCGGAAAGGUCAACUGAUACUGUGCGACUAGAGUGCAGAAGGGGCAACUGGAAUUCUCGGUGUAGCGGUGAAAUGCGUAGAUAUCGAGAGGAACACCUGCGGCGAAGGCGGGUUGCUGGGCUGACACUGACGCUGAGGCGCGAAAGCCAGGGGAGCGAACGGG